rnacentral:rRNA from 1 species
AGUGAACGCUGGCGGUAGGCCUAACACAUGCAAGUCGAACGGCAGCACAGUAAGAGCUUGCUCUUACGGGUGGCGAGUGGCGGACGGGUGAGGAAUACAUCGGAAUCUACUUUUUCGUGGGGGAUAACGUAGGGAAACUUACGCUAAUACCGCAUACGACCUACGGGUGAAAGCAGGGGAUCUUCGGACCUUGCGCGAUUGGAUGAGCCGGUGUCGGAUUAGCUAGUUGGCGGGGUAGAGGCCCACCAAGGCGACGAUGGGUAGCCGGUCUGAGAGGAUGACCGGCCACAUUGGGACUGAGAGACGGCCCAGAGUCCUACGGGAGGCAGCAGUGGGGAGUAUUGCACAAUGGGUGGAAGCCUGAGGCAGCAACGCGGCGUGCGUGAUGACGGCCUUCGGGUUGUAAACAGCUUUCGCCUGUGACGAAGCGUGAGUGACGGUAAUGGGUAAAGAAGCACCGGCUAACUACGUG